AAUAAAAAAUAAAGACAAAUGAAGGUAACAAAAAAAAUUUUAGGUAAGAGCGCAGAUGUCUAGUAAGGAAUGAGAGGUACAGGUGCGUUGAAAAGUUUAGAAGUGCUACUUUGCAGGAUUUUAUCGGAAAGAAGAACUACAUCAAAUGUAUGACUCAAAUUGUCCAGGGUUCUGGGGUGGUGAAAAACCUGAAGAAUAUUAUAACGCACGAAUUGGCCAUGCAGGUCAAUAUUGAUGGAGUGUUGGGCAAAAAUUCGCUCAAAAGCUUUAAAAUUUUUUUCGACGCCCUUAUUUAGUCCAUUCCUACCGGGAUAGACGCUGGAUCGCCAGAGAAUCAACCGCGCCAAGCCCUUCAGCGUAAAAAAAACACGUAAUAAAAAAAAUCAUUUAGUAAAUAAGGAAAAAAAUAUUUAAUAAAUAACAAUAUAAUGUAAGAUAGUAUAUAUUUUAAAACACGUUAAAACAUUAUCUUUGUUUAAAAAAUUAGUUUGAACUAAUGGUGAAAACAAAACUACUAAGUAAGAAAAUAAAUAAAAAAAUGCAUAUGUAUAAUUGAAUUUAAUAAAUCUAUUGCUUUGAAUUUCAUAAAAAUUUCUUUAAUUUUCGUAAAAUUGAACCAGUAGAAUCGCUAGCGAGUUUGAAUUAAUGAAAUCGCUAACGAUUUUGAGUUAGUCAAACCACUUGUAAUUUCGAAUUAACGAAAUCACUAACGGUUUGGAGUCAGUCAAAUCACUAGCCAUUUUGAAGUAAUGAAAACGCUAGCGAUUCUGUAUUAGCGAUUCACUAACGAUUUUGGAACUAGUCAUUACACCAAUGACUGGUAAUGCAGUGUCGCACCGCUCGAUUACUCUCGUAGGACAUUGCAAUGUAAAAAUCGUUAGUCAAAUAACAUUGCGAGUAAUCGGGAUGGAACUGGUUCUAAUGAUUAGGAAUUAGUCAUAUCGUUAGCUCUUCCCCAAUGGUACCGAACUACAGGGUAGUUGAGUGCAUGCGUGUUGCAUAUAGAUGCAUGCGUGCCUCAUAUAAAUGUAUGUGUGUUACAUG